UGGGGGAUAUUGCACAAUGGGCGAAAGCCUGAUGCAGCGACGCCGCGUGGGGGAUGAAGGCCUUCGGGUUGUAAACUUCUUUUGCUCUGAACAAGGCAUGCCUUUGGGGUGUGUUGAGUGUAGGGGUUGAUUAGCGCCGGCUAACUACGUGCCAGCAGCCGCGGUAAUACGUAGGGCGCGAGCGCUGUCCGGAAUUAUUGGGCGUAAAGGGCUUGUAGGUGGCUGGUUGCGUCUGUCGUGAAAGCUCAUGGCUUAACUGUAGGUUUGCGGUAGGUACGGGCUGGCUUGAGUGGAGUAGGGGAGGCUGGAAUUCCUGGUGUAGCGGUGGAAUGCGCAGAUAUCAGGAGGAAUACCGGUGGCGAAGGCGGGUCUCUGGGCUGUUACUGACGCUGAGGGGCGAAGGCGUGGGGAGCGAACAGG
rnacentral:rRNA from 1 species